rnacentral:rRNA from 1 species
GAUAAACGCUAGCGGCAGGCUUAAUACAUGCAAGUCGAGGGACAGCACAGGUAGUAAUACUGGGUGGUAACCGGCAAACGGGUGCGGAACACGUACACAACCUUCCUUUAAGUGGGGGAUAGCCCAGAGAAAUUUGGAUUAAUACCCCGUAAUAUAGUUGAAUGGCAUCAUUUGAUUAUUAUAGCUACGGCGCUUAAUGAUGGGUGUGCGGCUGAUUAGAUAGUUGGCGGGAUAACGGCCCACCAAGUCUACGAUCAGUAGCUGAUGUGAGAGCAUGAACAGCCAGACGGGCACUGAGACACGGGCCCGACUCCUACGGGAGGCAGCAGUAAGGAAUAUUGGUCAAUGGACGCAAGUCUGAAUCAGCCAUGCCGCGUGAAGGAUUAAGGUCCUCUGGAUUGUAAACUUCUUUUAUUUGGGACGAAAAAGGGCCUUUCUAGGUCAACUGACGGUACCAGAUGAAUAAGCACCGGCUAACUCCGUGCCAGCCGCCGCCGUAAUAC